rnacentral:rRNA from 1 species
GACAGAGGGUGCAAACGUUGUUCGGAAUUACUGGGCGUAAAGCGCGUGUAGGCGGCCCUGCAAGUCGGAUGUGAAAUCCCACGGCUCAACCGUGGAAGUGCAUUCGAAACUGCAGGGCUAGAGUCCGGAAGAGGAGAGUGGAAUUCCCGGUGUAGCGGUGAAAUGCGCAGAUAUCGGGAAGAACACCCGUGGCUAAGGCGGCUCUCUAGUACGGUACUGACGCUGAGACGCGAAAGCGUGGGGAGCGAACAGG